GACGAACGCUGGCGGCGUGCUUAACACAUGCAAGUCGAACGGAAAGGCCCUGCUUUUGUGGGGUGCUCGAGUGGCGAACGGGUGAGUAACACGUGAGUAACCUGCCCUUGACUUUGGGAUAACUUCAGGAAACUGGGGCUAAUACCGGAUAGGAGCUCCUGCUGCAUGGUGGGGGUUGGAAAGUUUCGGCGGUUGGGGAUGGACUCGCGGCUUAUCAGCUUGUUGGUGGGGUAGUGGCUUACCAAGGCUUUGACGGGUAGCCGGCCUGAGAGGGUGACCGGCCACAUUGGGACGGAGAUACGGCCCAGACUCCUACGGGAGGCAGCAGGGGGGAUUAUUGCACAAUGGGCGGAAGCCUGAUGCAGCAACGCCGCGUGCGGGAUGACGGCCUUCGGGUUGUAAACCGCUUUCGCCUGUGACGAAGCGUGAGUGACGGUAAUGGUAAAGAAGCACCGGCUAACUACGUG
rnacentral:rRNA from 1 species